ensembl:snoRNA
GUUCAGUGAUGUCUUAACAAAUGUCUGACCUGAAAUGUAAUGUGGAUUAUUUAUGUUACUGAGUAA